rnacentral:misc_RNA from 1 species
AUUUAGAUGACUAUAACCAUCAUCAACCUUAUCACAUGUGCUUUCAAAGCCUGAUAAGAAUCGGUUUAGACAAGAUAUGCAUGAAUUAGUUGUGCUAUCAUGCAAUGAGUUGAAACUCUUCCUUAAAGCGACUACUGAUUUCCAGCAGUUCAGUAAAUAUUCAGAGUGGAAUUACAGUUUCUGUAUCCUUUAUUUAGUAAAACUGGA